rnacentral:misc_RNA from 1 species
CCCUGAUAAUGAGGAAAAUACCUUACAAGGUUCUCAAACCUCGCCGCAUACUCUGCCACCGUCAUACUUUCCUGUUUCAGCUCGAGAAACUCCAUCUCCUUCCUAUUCUUCACAUCUUCUGGAAAAUACUUCUCCAGAAAAGAUUGUCUGAAAGUCUCCCAUUGGACAACAACACCACCUGCUCCUUCUAGAUGUGGGCGAGUGUUCUCCCACCAGUACUCCACCUCAUCUGCUAGCAUGUGAGUAGCAAACAACAACUUCUGAUGGUCCUAACACUCCAUCACCUGGAAGAUCUUCUCAACAUGGGCUUAAAGGAGCACUCAAA